GCCCCUCCCAACCCAACAGGCUCAGAUUUUCCACUUGUGUGACUGAGGUCAGUGCCUGCAUCCGGCUGGCGAGCUCCCCACAUAUGCUAGUGCCAGGCCUUAGGCAGGGGCUUCUCUCAUUUGCCCUGGAAUUCACUCCCCUAGUUGGCCCUCUCCAUCCUGCUUGCCACCACGGGGUGGGGAGGCUCCAUCGGAGACUGGGGACAGCCUGGCCCAGCUCUGGCUCUGGGCCACCAGGCCGAGAUGCGGCCCCUGUGUUUGCUCAGGCCUGAGAGUGAGUAUGGAAUAGUCCUCUGGCCAGGAGAGGAACAGUGGGAUUACUGUUGCUUGCAAAGAGCUCCAUCCCUUCCUUGUCAACCCACCAGAGAAUGUGGAGGUUGGCAACCAUGACCGCUGCCAUGGGGUUUACUAAUGGUCACUGCCGCCGACUCUCCCGGAGAGGCCCCGCUGGACACGGGGGCUUUGCCAUCCGCCGCCUACGUUCCCAGCCUGCCACGUCCACUUACUGAGCAACGGGCCAGCAAAUGAGUCUUGGCCCCUCUGAGCCUCACUGUCUUGCCAGUGAAGGUUGGGGUAAUAAUACCAACAUGGAAUGUGGCCAGGAGACACAAAUGUCCCGAGGAGGUGUUGGCCAGGAGGGCCUGGAAGUGCUUUCCUUAGGUGGGAUGACUCAUCAAGGACAGAGCAAAUCUCUUCUCCACCCAGGCCUCCUCUGCUCCAGCUCACAGGUUCACCCUGACACCAUCCUGGGGAACAGGAAGUUCUCACACUUCCCAUAGGUCAAGAAGCUGUCCUCGGCUAAAAAGAGGCUGCACUUCCCGCAGCCAAGGCCUCUCUCCCAAAGCAGAGAGAUUUUUUGGCCCGCUGAGACUGCAUAACCAUCUGCCAUAAAUUGAGACUAGUACGGCUUAUUUUGGUGAAUGCAAAAUUGGAUCCCAUUCUUUACUCUGUGGCUUGAUUCAACUUCCAGAUGGUUAAUCCACAUGAAGUAAUAGGAAUGCACCACAGCUCUGCUUAGCUGAAGAUGGAGACGUAAUAUUUAUUUGCUGAUGUGGAAGCCUCCAAAUGCUGCCCUGUCGGGAUGUCAGUAUAUAACGCGGCAGCACAAAAAAUGUCGGCUUGUCCACAGGAGCGACAGUGUACCUCUGAGUUUUCAUGGGGGACCCCUGAUGUCAUUUUUUUUUUUUUUUUUUUCUGGUCUGCCCGUGACCUAAUCUCAAGAGGUUUUGUUCUCUCCUGGGCUGUUUCUUAUCAGCUAUGUCUGCCCAUGUAGCCGGCUUCACAUCUGCUUUGACUUUAGUGCCUGUGACAUUUUCAUUAAUACUUCUUCAAGGUUGAGCCUUGAUUCCAAAUAUCCUGCCGCUCACGGAAGCUGUAGCUCAGCUGUGCCCAGCUGGGGGCUGCUGGGAAGUUUGGCCCAGUGGUAUCAACAAGCUUGGACAUCUCCACCCGGUUGGGUUAAUCAAUCCGUUUUUACUUUUAUUUCUGCCCACACUGGCCUGCCACGCCGGGGGAUGGGAUGCUCUGAAAGAGAUCUAGGUCAGCAGAUUCGGGGGCUUAAGUCUCAAUUGUGUUUCCACUCCUGGGAGUCUUGACUGCCUGAUCUGCCUGGAUUACGCACCCCCGCCAGCCAACCUUGCCCUUGCAAACUCACCCUGGACUUCCCAGCCCAGCCAUGUUUUCCCCAUCUACCCUGGGGCAGACUGGGACUCAGGGCCUCCUCUCUGUACCCGCCCAGGUCCCUGGGAACCACCUACAUUUGAAUUACCAGAGGAUGUUAAAAGUGCACACGCCUGGAUUGAGGGAGAGAAACCGUCCUAGUUUGCUCAGGACUAUCCUAGCUUUAGCACUGAAAGUCCUGUGUCCUGGAAAACCCCACCAGAUCUGGGCAAACCAGGAUGGUUGGUCACCCUACUUGGGCCCUACCCCAGACCCCAGAAUGAGAACCUCUGAGGGCUCAGGCCUAGGGAUCUAGUUUUGAUCAGUUCCCAUGGGUGAUUCUGAGGAGCUUGGAACCACAGGUACCCUCAGGGCCCAUGUUCUCUCACUUUGCAUGAAUGUAGCACACGAUACCCUCAUCAAUUUCUUUGGUAGAGUGUUUGAUUCCCUCACUGUGAGGUCUUCAAGGGAAGGGAUCAGCCCAGUUCGCUUUUGCCUUCAGUUCCCAGCUCUGUGUCUGGCCCACAGUCGACACUCAGAACAGACGAAUGGAAGAAAUAAUUGGAUACAAGCAAAUACCCAUGCUGGGGAAAGUGACCCAGACCUGUUUCCCACGUACUUUUCCAAAGUUCUAGGGUGGACUCGAUUAGAAAUUAGAUCAAGGAAAUUCUAGUAGAGCAGGAAUUGGAUCUAGGAUAUUUUUUUAAGGGAGUGAAAACCUUGAACGUUCCAAGAUGGAACAAAUAAGCAAUUAGAUCUAAGAAAUUCUAAAAUGGAAUGGACUGGAACCGUGAACAUCCUAAGACAGAAUUGUUUUCUUCCUUAAUUGUCAUGGGAGCUUCUGCAGGCAGAGAGAACAAGAGGCCAUAUGCCUUGUACCUGAUUAUCAAAGCCUAGCAUCAAAUGUUUAAAGUCUGCAGCUCCUCAAAUAAUCACAGCUGUGCAUGAAGACAGACUCAAGUGUGAGGUGUCCAGGCUGGGCAGUGGGGAUCAGGGAGCCCAGAAAACAGGCUGAGCUGAGGGGAAGGAGUGGGAGCCAGUGUCUGGCCCUGGCAGGAUCCCAGCAUCACAAUCCUUCACCCCUCAGCCUGGACAGGGCUCAGCCAGGUGAUGGCCGUCUUCCCAUCACCUGAGUGCAACCCCCAGCUUAACUGAGUUGCCCUGUUGCCUCGGGCAGCAGAUCCUGCUGCUUCCUAAUUUAGUUUCCUUGUCUUUUCAAUAAAGAUGGAAAGACUCUUCUCUGGUUAUGGCUUUAAAGUGGGUGCAACAUAAAGGAUUAUUUGUAUGGGUUUUAUGUGUCUGUGAAAACACUGAGGUUGACCCAGGGUCCUAGUCCCAAACCCUGUUCAUGAUAAUCCCGUUGGUAAGAGGGAGUGCACACGAGGAGGAGAGUCUGCGAAGGUAAAAGGGAGCCCAGGGAUCACCUUAACAGGGGUCACGCCCGCUGGCUUGAACCCACUGGACUUGGUGGCUGUCGGCAUGCUUGUCCAAGUGGAUAAAGCAAAGCCCAGUGACAGGCUGCAGUGGAGGGAGCCUGGGGCACAGCUGAGCAGGAGAUGUGCCUCCACACCCCCCUCCAUCUCCCCCCUCCCAGCCCCCCACGUCCCCGCCGACUGGGUCAAGUGCGCCUCUCCCACCCCACAUCCCCGCAUCGGUUCCUAUGGGCUCCACCUUGAACACGCAUCCAGAAUCUGACCCUUCUCACCACACCCACAACGACCGUAACCCAGCCCAGCCACCAUCUUCUCUCCCUGGAUGGUUGCUCAAGACCUUCCUAACUGGCCCUUUCUCUUCCCAUAGAGAAGCCAGAGUGGUUCUUUUCAGUAUCAAACAAGUUGUACCCGCCCUCUGCUCAGAGUCCCCCUGCGUAACUGACAGUGACCCGCUAGACCCCUCUCUGUCCCUACCGGCUCCUGCUCCUCCUCUCCUUCACUCCACUCCAGCCGCACUGGCCUCCUGCUGGCCAGUUCUGCAAAACACCAGGCGAGUCACCUCCAGGGCCUUUGCACUGGCUGCUCCCGCUGUCUGGAACACUUCCACCAGAGCCCCUCCCAGUUCCCUCUCCUGCCUCACUCAGAUGCUCUAAUGUCCAGGAGGGCCUUCCCAGGCCACCUUAUACAAAACAGCCCUCCCCCCAUCUGUCAUAGCUCUUUAUCCUUCAUAGCACUUAUCACUACCUGCAUGGUGUGUGUUGUGUGUGUGUAUUGCUUGUCUCUUCCCACUGGACUAGAAGUUCCAUGAGAGCCAAUUUCGUGCUGCCCUCCGUGCCUGGAACCCUGCGUGGUCUGUACUAGGUGCUCAGUGAGCAUUUGCAAAUGAGUAACUCCGGCGUUUCUCCCAUGUUAGAAGAGGCUGGUGACUCUCAGUGAACCACAUGGUAGAUGCAAAGAUCACAGCAUAACCGAAGAGGGCUGUCCAAAUGUAAUGAUGGCCAUUAGCGUCUCUCCACCCCAGAGCAGCGAUUCUGGAGGAAUCUGUGUAAUUGGAGUACAAUUAAGCAUAUGGCAGUGUUUCCACCAGGCCAUAGAUCCGAUUCUGAGCUUCCCCGACGUGGGCUCUGGUUUCUUUCUUUUUCCCCGUAACAACA